AUGACUCAUAUUGAUAUUCCCGUUGAUAACCAAAAAUUGUGGAAGCUAAAAAUUCCUCUAAGAGUGAAGAUAUUCCUCUGGUUUUUAGAUAGAGGGGUCAUCUUAACUAGAGAUAAUCUGGCAUGAUGUAACUGGCAAGGUAGCAAGACAUGUGUCUUUUGCCAACAUGAUGAGUCUAUUAAACACUUAUUUUUUGAGUGUAAAUUUGCUCGUGCAGUUUGGGCCAUAGUGCAAGUAGCUUCAAAUCUAUACCCCCCACGUAGUGCGCGUAACAUGUUCGGUAAUUGGUUGCGGGGUAUUGAUAAACAAUUUUCUACACAUAUUGUUGUUGGGGCGGCUGCCUUAUGUUGGGCAUUGUGGAUUACCUGGAAUGAUGUGGUUUUUAAUAAUAAAUGUGGUUCUUCUCCUGUGUAG
rnacentral:rRNA from 1 species